UGGGGGAUAUUGCACAAUGGGCGAAAGCCUGAUGCAGCGACGCCGCGUGGGGGAUGAAGGCCUUCGGGUUGUAAACUUCUUUUGCUCUGAACAAGGCAUGCUAAUGGGUGUGUUGAGUGUAGGGGUUGAUUAGCGCCGGCUAACUACGUGCCAGCAGCCGCGGUAAUACGUAGGGCGCGAGCGUUGUCCGGAAUUAUUGGGCGUAAAGGGCUUGUAGGUGGCUGGUUGCGUCUGUAGUGAAAGCUCAUGGCUUAACUGUGGGUUUGCGGUGGGUACGGGCUGGCUUGAGUGCAGUAGGGGAGGCUGGAAUUCCUGGUGUAGCGGUGGAAUGCGCAGAUAUAAGGAGGAGUACCGGUGGCGAAGGCGGGUCUCUGGGCUGUUACUGACACUGAGGAGCGAAAGCAUGGGGAGCGAACAGG
rnacentral:rRNA from 1 species